GGAUAUCAUCGUCAAAUCAAUCGAAAAUUAUAAAAUAUUUCUCUCUCCCCUCUUUCUUUUCUGUUUCCUUUCCUUCUCUCUUCUCUCUUUCUUUUUUUUUCUUCUUUCUUCCUCUCCCCGAGUUCAGUCUUCUCUCUCCUCUUUCUUUUUUAUCCUUCCCUUCUCUCAUUCUUUUCUUCUUCUUCUCUCUCCGCCAGAUAUCUCUCUCAUGCUUUUCUUCUCCUUCCCUUCUCUCUUUCUUUCUC
rnacentral:lncRNA from 1 species